AUGGCCCCCAAGGCGGAGAAGAAGCCGGUGGCGGAGAAGGCCGAGAAGACCACGGCGGCGAAGAAGACCAAGGCCGAGAAGCGACCGCCGGCGUCCAAGGAGGGCGGCGAGAAGAAGGGGAAGAAGAAGUCCAAGAAGAGCGUGGAGACGUACAAGAUCUACAUCUUCAAGGUGCUGAAGCAGGUGCACCCGGACAUCGGCAUCUCCUCCAAGGCCAUGUCCAUCAUGAACUCCUUCAUCAACGACAUCUUCGAGAAGCUCGCCGGCGAGUCCGCCAAGCUCGCCCGCUACAACAAGAAGCCCACCAUCACGUCCAGGGAGAUCCAGACGUCCGUCCGCCUCGUCCUCCCCGGCGAGCUCGCCAAGCACGCCGUCUCCGAGGGCACCAAGGCCGUCACCAAGUUCACCUCCUCCUAG
rnacentral:rRNA from 1 species